CACUUCAUUGCAAGGACAAGUACAGAGACUUGCGGCCACCUGAAAAAGAAGCAUUUCUACUUCGUCUGUCACCGGUCUGGAAGUUAUGCUUCACAAGCUACAAGUAAACAAAAGCUGAAGCGGCCUUCAAGUGUCAAGUGUGGAAAAAGAUGUUUUGCGGCAAUGGCUGUGACUGAAGACAACACAGGUGUGUAUGUGGUUUUCCAAUUCAAGCACAGAGGCCACGACUUUGAACUGGGUCGUGUUUUUCUGUCCAAGUCGGAAAGAGCUGCUAUUGCUGACAAGCUGCGAGAAGGCGUGUCCAUGGAUGCAGUG
rnacentral:lncRNA from 1 species